GGCUUUGAAGCGGUGACGCCAGUCAUCGUGGAGCCUCCCUUGAGAUACCACCCUUCGCACUCUUGAUGUCUAACCGCGGUCCGUUAUCCGGAUCCGGGACCCUGCGUGGCGGGUAGUUUGACUGGGGCGGUCGCCUCCCAAAGAGUAACGGAGGCGCGCGAUGGUAGGCUCAGGACGGUUGGAAACCGUCUGCGAGAGUGCAAUGGCAUAAGCCUGCCUGACUGCGAGACUGACGAGUCGAGCAGAGACGAAAGUCGGUCAUAGUGAUCCGGUGGUCCCUCGUGGAAGGGCCAUCGCUCAACGGAUAAAAGGUACGCCGGGG
rnacentral:rRNA from 1 species